UACAGGGGGGGGCAAGCGUUGUUCGGAAUUACUGGGCGUAAAGGGCCAGUAGGCGGCCGACUAAGUCCGACGUGAAAUCCCCAGGCUUAACCUGGGAACUGCGUCGGAUACUGGUUGGCUUGAAUUCGGGAGAGGGAUGCAGAAUUCCAGGUGUAGCGGUGAAAUGCGUAGAUAUCAGGAGGAACACCGGUGGCGAAGGCGGGUCUCUGGGCCGAUAUUGACGCUGAGGAGCGAAAGCGUGGGGAGCGAACAGG
rnacentral:rRNA from 1 species